rnacentral:rRNA from 1 species
GACGAACGCUGGCGGCGUGCUUAACACAUGCAAGUCGAACGGAAAGGCCCAGCUUGUUGGGUACUCGAGUGGCGAACGGGUGAGUAACACGUGGGUGAUCUGCCCCAAACUUCGGGAUAAGCCUGGGAAACUGGGUCUAAUACCGGAUAUGACCUGCUCCUGCAUGGGGGUUGGUGGAAAGCUUUUGCGGUUUGGGAUGGGCCCGCGGCCUAUCAGCUUGUUGGUGGGGUAAUGGCCUACCAAGGCGACGACGGGUAGCCGACCUGAGAGGGUGAUCGGCCACACUGGGACUGAGACACGGCCCAGACUCCUACGGGAGGCAGCAGUGGGGAAUAUUGCACAAUGGGCGCAAGCCUGAUGCAGCGACGCCG